GAGCCGGCCUAACACCACUGUGAUAGAGCCCUUCUGGUGCGCCUAACAAGAAAAAGGUGUGAGGAAUCAGGUAGAGGAUGGUAGCUCGGAAGAAACAGAGCCUGACCUCACCUGGCCAGAUAUCCAAUCUUCAUUGCCCCAAACCACUGGACCCUUGAGAAACCUUUGCCUCAUCUUUAAUCUGUGGGAACUGAUUGGCUGGAGAAGGGAAUGUCUGAUACGGAAGCCUUACCUGACUGUGCAAGGGCAUCAAUAAAGGCAAAAAAGUGCUUCUCUAAAUCUUCCAAAUCAGAGAAUGGCCGCUGGGACCAAACAGCAGCUGCAAUCAGAGGACAUCUCUCAGUGGCAUUCCCAAACACAUCCACGAAUUCUCCAAGGUCCAUGGAGUUGACCUUCUCAAUGUCCAUUCCUUGUAUUCCACUGGAGACAGCGGGACGUCCAGCUCCCCUCUCGGUGAGUGAGUGACGCUGUCUCGGCUCACUCGGUUAUAUCUGCUGAACACAAGAGCUUGCUGUUUACGCAACACCACCUUCGCGUGUUUUAAAUGC
rnacentral:lncRNA from 10 species